AUUGAACGCUGGCGGCAUGCCUUACACAUGCAAGUCGAGCGAACAGAUAAGGAGCUUGCUCCUUUGACGUUAGCGGCGGACGGGUGAGUAACACGUGGGUAACCUACCUAUAAGACUGGAAUAACUCCGGGAAACCGGGGCUAAUGCCGGAUAACAUUUAGAACCGCAUGGUUCUAAAGUGAAAGAUGGUUUUGCUAUCACUUAUAGAUGGACCCGCGCCGUAUUAGCUAGUUGGUAAGGUAAUGGCUUACCAAGGCAACGAUACGUAGCCGACCUGAGAGGGUGAUCGGCCACACUGGAACUGAGACACGGUCCAGACUCCUACGGGAGGCAGCAGUAGGGAAUCUUCCGCAAUGGGCGAAAGCCUGACGGAGCAACGCCGCGUGAGUGAUGAAGGGUUUCGGCUCGUAAAACUCUGUUAUUAGGGAAGAACAAACGUGUAAGUAACUGUGCACGUCUUGACGGUACCUAAUCAGAAAGCCACGGCUAACUACGUGCCAGCCGCCGCAGUAA
rnacentral:rRNA from 1 species